rnacentral:rRNA from 1 species
AUUGAACGCUGGCGGCAGGCCUAACACAUGCAAGUCGAGCGGAGCGGCGGACGGGUGAGUAAUGCCUAGGAAUCUGCCUGGUAGUGGGGGAUAACGUCCGGAAACGGGCGCUAAUACCGCAUACUAUCAGAUGAGCCUAGGUCGGAUUAGCUAGUUGGUGGGGGAAAGGCCUACCAGGGCGACGAUCCGUAACUGGUCUGAGCGGAUGAUCAGUCAAAGUGGAAAUGAGACACGGUCCAGACGCCUACGUGAGGCAGCAGGGGGGAAUAUUGGACAAUGGGCGAAAGCCGGAUGAAGCCGUGCGGGGUGUGUGAAGAAGGUCUUAGGAGUGUAAAGCACGUUAAGUUGGGAGGCGUGACCAACAGAAUAAGAACCGGCUAACUUCGUGCCAGCAGCCGCGGUAAUAC